CUACGGGUCGCACCAGUGAGGAAUAUUGCACAAUGGGGGGAACCCUGAUGCAGCAACGCCGCGUGGAGGAUGACGCAUUUCGGUGUGUAAACUCCUUUUAUAUGUCAAGAAAAUGACGGUAGCAUAUGAAUAAGCACCGGCUAACUCCGUGCCAGCAGCCGCGGUAAUACGGAGGGUGCAAGCGUUACUCGGAAUCACUGGGCGUAAAGGACGCGUAGGCGGGUUGGAAAGUCAGGUGUGAAAUCCUACAGCUUAACUGUAGAACUGCACUUGAAACUUCUAAUCUAGAGUAUGGGAGGGGGAGAUGGAGUUAGUGGUGCAGGGGUAAAAUCCGUAGAUAUCACUAGGAAUACCUAAAGCGAAGGCGAUCUCCUGGAACAUUACUGACGCUAAGGCGUGAAAGCGUGGGGAGCAAACAGGAUUAGAUACCCUUGUAGUC
rnacentral:rRNA from 1 species